rnacentral:snoRNA from 1 species
AAAUAAAGAUUAAAUGGCCAUAGCCAUGAGAUCUCCAACUGCAUACAAGAAUAACCUGAGAGACUGACAGCACAGGUCAGCAUAAUACCUGUAGCUGCCACUCAACUCUCCUAUAUUU